rnacentral:rRNA from 1 species
CCUACGGGCGGCAGCAGUGGGGAAUAUUGGACAAUGGGGGGAACCCUGAUCCAGCCAUGCCGCGUGUGUGAAGAAGGCCCUCGGGUUGUAAAGCACUUUCAGUGAGGAAGAACGCCUGGUGGUUAAUACCCAUCAGGAAAGACAUCACUCACAGAAGAAGCACCGGCUAACUCCGUGCCAGCAGCCGCGGUAAUACGGAGGGUGCGAGCGUUAAUCGGAAUUACUGGGCGUAAAGCGCGCGUAGGUGGCUUGAUAAGCCGGUUGUGAAAGCCCCGGGCUCGACCUGGGAACGGCAUCCGGAACUGUCAAGCUAGAGUGCAGGAGAGGAAGGUAGAAUUCCCGGUGUAGCGGUGAAAUGCGUAGAGAUCGGGAGGAAUACCAGUGGCGAAGGCGGCCUUCUGGACUGACACUGACACUGAGGUGCGAAAGCGUGGGUAGCAAACAGGAUUAGAUACCCGGGUAGUC